rnacentral:tRNA from 2 species
UAAAUUGAGACCGAAUGUUAGGUGCUUAGCUGUUAACUAAGAAGAAGUAGGAUAAAAACCUGCCAAUUUAG